GUUUGUAACAGUUUUGGUUAAAUACAAUAAAAUUCAGUUAAUAUGACAGAACAACAUAAAAAGAAUAUCACAGUUAGGCAGUAAACAAACAAAACUUCAUAAGUUCAGGAAACCAAUUUUAAUGGUUUGACAUUAUGCUUUUUAGUUAAUGUAAUUUUUAACAUUUUCUGUAUACCUAGGAAUAUCAGUCCCGGUAUAUAGAAAAAAGAAAUGAUUCAUCAUUUGAAAAAUAACAAGAAUGUGUCCCCAGUACACGGAUGCCCCACUAGCACUAUCAUUUUUUAUGUUUAGUGGACCGUCAAAACUCUUAUUUGGCAUUAAAAUUAGAAAGAUCAUAUCAUAAGGAGCAUGUGUACUAAGUUUCAAGUUGAUUGGACUUCAACUUCAUCAAAAUCUACCUUGACCAAAACUUUAAACCUGAAGCAGGACGAAAGAACAGACAGACAGACAAACGAACCUACAGACCAGAAAACAUAAUGCCCCUCUACUAUCGUAGGUGGGGCCAAAAUAAAAAUCCAGGUGCUUGUAAGCACUUAGAGGUAAAGAUUGCAUUAAUUUAUCAGUAUGAAGUAAAAUUGAAUAUUGCAUUGUCAAUAAAGCAUUGGUUGUAGUUGAUUCAACUACAAUUCUGGACAAUGGGAGAUAACUCCAAUUUUCAAAAAUGACUUUAACAAUGACAUCAUUUAUAUUUUUAGAACAGAUAUUAGAUUUCUGCACCUUGUUAAAGUUAUGUAUUUUAUUGAAAGUUUUAACUUCAUUUUGUGACUUGAAUAUCUUAGCAUAUGUUUCAUUGCUAAAUUUCUGGAAAUGUUCAUGGGUUGGAUGUAUAGAAUGUUAUGAUCAAUGCACUAUAUUUUGUGUAUCAAAAAGGUAGUGAUCAGCCUUGGAAGAUUUAGAUAUCAAGUCAGUAACAUAGGGUCAUGCAAUUUUAGCCCCAAACUAGAAU
rnacentral:lncRNA from 1 species